rnacentral:rRNA from 1 species
CCUACGGGGGACAGCAGUGAGGAAUAUUGGUCAAUGGACGAGAGUCUGAACCAGCCAAGUAGCGUGAAGGAUGACUGCCCUAUGGGUUGUAAACUUCUUUUAUAUGGGAAUAAAAUGUUCCACGUGUGGGAUUUUGUAUGUACCAUAUGAAUAAGGAUCGGCUAACUCCGUGCCAGCAGCCGCGGUAAUACGGAGGAUCCGAGCGUUAUCCGGAUUUAUUGGGUUUAAAGGGAGCGUAGGUGGAUUGUUAAGUCAGUUGUGAAAGUUUGCGGCUCAACCGUAAAAUUGCAGUUGAAACUGGCAGUCUUGAGUACAGUAGAGGUGUGCGGAAUUCGUGGUGUAGCGGUGAAAUGCUUAGAUAUCACGAAGAACUCCGAUUGCGAAGGCAGUUCACUGGACUGCAACUGACACUGAGGCUCGAAAGUGUGGGUAUCAAACAGGAUUAGAUACCCCAGUAGUC